rnacentral:lncRNA from 1 species
GGAAUUUAGAGAGACAAGGGACACAAGAAAUAGACAAGACAGUAUCCUGAUCAAGUCUCGUUUAUUGAGGGCGUUGGUACAGCUUAUAUAGGAUGGUAAGAAAGAGGAAGUGCGGCAGAGCAGGCGGGGAGGAGAAUAAUGAGAGACGUCACCAGGCGCAUGCUCGAUAGACUUAGUCUUUCCCAGGCGCGGGAAGUCAUCUACCCGCGCGCGGAAAAAGUUGGGGCGCAUGGGAAAAGUUGAUGAAGAACCAGGAAGUGCGCCAUCUUGUCUCUGCAAUGCGGAGCUUAAGCAACAGAGGCCGCGGCAAUUUCUGGGCCUCACGGCUCCCGACAGCUAACAUAUUUGGAAGACUCCCCAUCCAAUUUCUUUAAGAAAAAAAUGCUUGGAAAUCAGGGCAGCAUUCUUUGACAACACUGACUUUAACAACAUGAUGGGCCAUUUUUUCCCGCACCACAAAUUGAAGAAGUUUUCAAAAUUGGGCAAGGCUGAUCUGAUUUACUCACCCAAUUGCAUACAAGAAGCUGUAAUUGAGAGUGCAGACUUAGCUGGGCCUCCCGGGAAAAGCCCUUAUUUUUCUCUUUCCUCAUGGAGUCUUAAAGAACAAGAAAGAACAUUCUUGACGGUGUCUGUGACUUGAUCUCUCCAAGAGGAAGAUGCACAGGAGGUCUAAACGCUUACCAUCUAAAGAGUGGUGCUUGGACCCACAGCAUCCUCAUCCCCUGAAAGCUCCUUAGAAAUGUGGAGUCUCCAUCCCCACCCUAGGUCUACUGAAUUAGUCUUCAUUUUAAUAAGAUCCUUGGGUGAUUCACAUGCACUAUCUAUCGUGUGUAAAUUCUAUCAGGUGUAAAUAACUGUUUAGUUACAUACAGGAAAUUGCUCUCCUGUAACAUGACAGAUGCAGAUGUAUCUUUGAAAUACCUAAAAAUGUGCCCUUCUGAGGAAAACAUUAGCUCUGUUCUGCAGAAAAUUGUGACUAGAGAUAUGAAGUGAUUUGUUCAAAAUUACAUUGUUAAUAAUUCCAAGACCACAGAUAGAAAAUAAACAUCCUGCCGCAAUAUAGGCU